CAAUGCUGAUGGAGCUUGUUAAAAAUAAUACGUUAAUUAAAUUUGUGACUGACCUCUUUGGGGGAGAAUUGUAUGCCUCUGGCUCUGUUUUACCCACAUUCUGCCAUAUAUUUCAUGUUAUAGCCAUCUUGGAUAAUGACCCAGCAUAUGUUGUUAAUUUUAA